rnacentral:rRNA from 1 species
AUUGAACGCUGGCGGCAGGCCUAACACAUGCAAGUCGAGCGGAUGAAGGGAGCUUGCUCCUGGAUUCAGCGGCGGACGGGUGAGUAAUGCCUAGGAAUCUGCCUGGUAGUGGGGGAUAACGUCCGGAAACGGGCGCUAAUACCGCAUACGUCCUGCGGGAGAAAGAGGGGGAUCUUCGGACCUCACGCUAUCAGAUGAGCCUAGGUCGGACUAGCUAGUUGGUGGGGUAAAGGCCUACCAAGGCGACGAUCCGUAACUGGUCUGAGAGGAUGAUCAGUCACACUGGAACUGAGACACGGUCCAGACUCCUACGGGAGGCAGCAGUGGGGAAUAUUGGACAAAGGGCGGAAGCCUGAUCCAGCCAUGCCGCGUGUGUGAAGAAGGUCUUCGGAUUGUAAAGCACUUUAAGUUGGGAGGAAGGGCAGUAAGUUAAUACCUUGCUGUUUUGACGUUACCAACAGAAUAAGCACCGGCUAACUUCGUG